GGGCGCUUAGCUCAGUUGGUAGAGCAUCUCGUUUACACCGAGAGGGUCCGCUUACCAGCGGUCU
rnacentral:tRNA from 1 species